UCCAUAAGGAUAUAUGCUUAAAGGUUUUUCUCUUGAUUCCUUUGUUGAAAAUGAAAGACAUCACGCUUCUCAAGUCCCGUUUACAUUCAUCAACCCUACAAUAAUAGCGUAAAAAAGAGCUUUCUAUGGUCUUUUUCAUCAUUAUUGUUAUAAAAUAAAGGUACGUGUAUCCAGCUUUAUUUUUUGCCACCAAACAUUGUGACCAGCAUACGGUCUAAAUAAUUAACUUAGUUUGUAGCCAAAACAACAUAUGAUUUAUAAGGAAAAUCAAUCAAACAAACAAGCACUUGGUACUCCAUCGAACUUUAAUUACCCUUUAACGAGAAUUUCACUAUUUGUGCACCUAAGUACGGUAACACAUGAAAACGUAAAGUCGCAAAUCGUAAAAUGGAAUUCACAGGAUAAACGGCGAAAGAACGCCGAAAUCUUUUUUUCGUGAGAGUAGUCUAAAUAAUCAACUUAGUUGUAGCGUAAACAACAUACGAUUUAUAAACGAAAAUCAAUCAAACAAACAGGCAUUUGGUACUCCUAACGAGAACUCAACUAUUUGUUUAUCUAUGCACGGUAACCCAUGAAAUCGUAAAGCCAAGCAAUAAUUUUUGUGGCAAAAAAAAUACAAAACCUGCAGAAUAUUAAGAGUUAUUUGUUUACAUUGCAUAUGCAUUGGUAAACCUUGUAAAUAACCCUACCAGGAACUGGUGUUGAAAAUCAGUCAAAUUAACAAGCACUACCCACUAGACAGCUAGAACUCAACUAUUUGUGCACCUAUAUACGGUAACACAUGAAAUCGUAAAGACAUACAAUUACUUUUUUUUAGAAAAAAGUUGUUUAUAUUGCUUAUGCAUGGGUAAACUUUGUAAAUAUCCCUACCCUAAACUGGUGUUGAAAUAAGCGACAGGUGGACGUGAAUAUCUUUAGCUCGUUUGAUAGGGGUAAUGCCAUUUGGAUUCCGAAGAGAGGUCAGAACUUUCUAGGAGAGUUGUCCACAGUGCACGGGUUAUGCUGCUAUAAUUCCACUCUAUCCAGAACCAGUCACAAUGCUUUGGAAGUCGUCUCUCGUCUUGUUGCUGCUAGCUGCUGUCGUGACCAUCGAUGCUGGAGUCAAACGAGGCAAAAAAACAAGCUUCCACAUGGAACAUGAAAAGAUCAAAAUUGAUGGCCAAUGGAAAGACUGCGCAGAAUACACCCAAAACGUUGACACGAGCACAUCACUCACAUGCGGCUGCGUUACCCUAUGCUGCUCAGGGAACCCUGAUUGUUUGUCAAGCGAUGGCAAACUGCAAUGUAAACUAAAAAACCUGAAUUACAAAUGGUACGACGUCAAAGACAGUGAUUGCAAAUGCCGUUGGUUCAACGGUUAGGGUUAGGUUUAUACAAGAGCCUUAUUCUUUGCAGCCACUGUCUUGGCUGAUUGCUAACUGUGUAAAAGCAUAAUUAUUUUAUGUAAUUUAAAAAAAUGUACUAUUAAAGACAACAAAAAUAAA